rnacentral:rRNA from 1 species
GACGAACGCUGGCGGCGUGCCUAACACAUGCAAGUCGAGCGGAGAAACAAAAGAGCAGCUUGCUGCGAUUUGUUUCUUAGCGGCGGACGGGUGAGUAACGCGUGGGUAAUCUGCCUCAAACAGGGGGAUAACACAGGGAAACUUGUGCUAAUACCGCAUAAGACCCCACCAUGGCAUCAUGGAGAGGUCAAAGGAAGAAAUUCCGGUUUGAGAUGAGCCCGCGUCUGAUUAGCUAGUUGGUGAGGUAACGGCUCACCAAGGCGACGAUCAGUAGCCGAACUGAGAGGUUGAUCGGCCACAUUGGGACUGAGACACGGCCCAGACUCCUACGGGAGGCAGCAGUGGGGAAUAUUGGGCAAUGGGCGGAAGCCUGACCCAGCCAUGCCGCGUGAAGGAAGACGGCCUUAUGGGUUGUAAACUUCUUUACUAUGCGACUAACUAGAUUUACGAGAUAAUUCUAUAGAAUGUAGCAUAGCAAAAGCACCGG